AGCGAACGCUGGCGGCAGGCUUAACACAUGCAAGUCGAGCGCCCCGCAAGGGGAGCGGCAGACGGGUGAGUAACACGUGGGAACGUGCCUUUUGGUUCGGAACAACCCAGGGAAACUUGGGCUAAUACCGGAUAAGCCCUUACGGGGAAAGAUUUAUCGCCAAAAGAUCGGCCCGCGUCUGAUUAGCUAGUUGGUGGGGUAAUGGCCCACCAAGGCUACGAUCAGUAGCUGGUCUGAGAGGAUGAUCAGCCACAUUGGGACUGAGACACGGCCCAAACUCCUACGGGAGGCAGCAGUGGGGAAUAUUGGACAAUGGGGCAACCUUGAUCCAGCCAUGCCGCGUGAGUGAUGAAGGCCUUAGGGUUGUAAAGCUCUUUUAGCAGGGAAGUUAAUGACGUUACCUGCAGAAAAAGCCCCGGCUAACUUCGUGCCAGCCGCCGCCGUAA
rnacentral:rRNA from 1 species